GAUGAACGCUGGCGGCGUGCUUAACACAUGCAAGUCGAACGAAGCGCCUUGGACAGAUUCUUCGGAUGAAGUCUUUGGUGACUGAGUGGCGGACGGGUGAGUAACGCGUGGGUAACCUGCCUCAUACAGGGGGAUAACAGUUAGAAAUGGCUGCUAAUACCGCAUAAGCGCACGGUACCGCAUGAUACAGUGUGAAAAACUCCGGUGGUAUGAGAUGGACCCGCGUUGGAUUAGCUAGUUGGCAGGGUAACGGCCUACCAAGGCGACGAUCCAUAGCCGGCCUGAGAGGGUGGACGGCCACAUUGGGACUGAGACACGGCCCAGACUCCUACGGGAGGCAGCAGUGGGGAAUAUUGCACAAUGGGGGAAACCCUGAUGCAGCGACGCCGCGUGAGCGAAGAAGUAUUUCGGUAUGUAAAGCUCUAUCAGCAGGGAAGAAAAUGACGGUACCUGACUAAGAAGCCCCGGCUA
rnacentral:rRNA from 1 species